GGAGAGAUGGCCGAGUGGCUUAAGGCGGUAGUUUGCUAAAUUAUUGUGCCACCUUUCAGUGGCACCAUGGGUUCGAAUCCCAUUCUCUCCG
rnacentral:tRNA from 1 species